rnacentral:misc_RNA from 1 species
ACGUAUCUCUGAACGGGGUGCGGCCUGCCCUGCUCCGGUCCAAACGGGCCGUGCAGCGGGCGGUCGUCCCUGCUCAAACCUCACAAACCCCACUGUGAACCUUCACGGCAGAGGGGGCCCGGUUCGCGCCGGUGCCCUCGACGCCGCAUACCAAACUCCAGUUGCAAAGAAUGUAUUGCGGACCUUUGUGCCGCCUAAAACACAUAA